GUAGGGUCCAAGCGUUAUCCGGAUUUACUGGGCGUAAAGUGUUCCGUAGGCGGGUGGGUUCAAGUAUGUCGUCAAAGCCCGAGGCUCAACUUCGGAAAGGCGAUGUAAACUGAAUCACUUGAGGAUGUUAGGGAGUGCUGGAAUUCAUGGUGAAGGGGUGAAAUCCGUUGAUAUCAUGAAGAACACCGAGGGCGAAGGCAGGCACUUAAGACAUUCCUGACGCUGAUGGACGAAAGCUAGGGUAGCAAAAGGGAUUAGAGACCCCUGUAGUCCUAGCCGUAAACGAUCCUUACUAGAUGCCUGAAUUUAUUUGGGUGUCGUAAGCUAACGCGUUAAGUAAGGCGCCUGGGGAGUACGACCGCAAGGUUA
rnacentral:rRNA from 1 species